AUUUAUAAAGUUUAUAAAACAUUUCAUUUUCAUUGAAAAGAGAGGAAAAGCCUUAUAAAUA
rnacentral:tRNA from 3 species